UAGGUGGUGGUGGAAAAGAGAGCAAUAUAAAUAUUAUGAUCAAGAAGCUACAUGAAAUGAUCUUGGUCAUUAUGGGAUUAGAAUACUAGUGUAGUAAUUAAGAAGUGUGUGUUUGGUUUUCCUUUGAGAAAUCUCAAAGGACCAUUGAAUAAAAAAUUAUGAAUUUUUUCUUCUCAUAAAAUUUGCAUGAAAAUGUGUUAAAUCAAACACAUACUUCAGUCGUGCAGGUUUCCAAGUGAAUUGUUUGAUUUGGAGUAUGAGUCACAAUGUCAAGCAACAACCGAGAAAGAACAUAGAUGUAGAGCUAUGGGCAUUUGAAAUUGAUUUGGCUAUGUACAAAGCCAAAAGAGACAAGAGAAACAAUGCUGCAACUGAAACCACAUCUGUGUCAUUAGACAACCUAAAUAAAAAUCCAGAUGGAUGAAAGGGACUUCACUGAUCACGUAAUGCAAGUGUAUGGAACUCUUAAACAAGAAAGGGAGAAAUGGGAAAAAACCAUACAAGUUGAGCUUAUUACAAAGAUAGCUAAGGAAGCAUAUGCCAAGGUCACCGAAGUACCUGCUGAUAUCAACACUGCCUUGCAAGAGGAUGUCAAAAAAGUUGUUUCACCAACUCCGUCCAAUGCUGGUAGGCUGAUGAAGGGUUACACAUUGAGGAUUGUACCACUUUGGUCCCUUAAUUUAUUUUAUUGUACAUUUGGUCUUCAAUGUUUUUAAAAAUUAGCCAUUUUGAUUCACAACUGUUAGAUUGUCAUCCAUUUUUUUAACAGAGUUUGCUAACAUGA